UACAGAGGUCUCAAGCGUUGUUCGGAUUCAUUGGGCGUAAAGGGUGUGUAGGUGGCGCGCUAAGUCGGGUGUGAAAUUUCGGAGCUUAACUGCGAAACUGCAUUCGAUACUGGCGUGCUUGAGGACUGGAGAGGAGACUGGAAUUCAUGGUGUAGCAGUGAAAUGCGUAGAGAUCAUGAGGAAGACCAGUGGCGAAGGCGGGUCUCUGGACAGUUCCUGACGCUGAGGCACGAAGGUCAGGGGAGCAAACGGGG
rnacentral:rRNA from 1 species